rfam:Felis catus isolate Cinnamon breed Abyssinian chromosome C1, whole genome shotgun sequence.
AGAAAGCCAUAAAGAAUCAGCUUUUAAGUGCCUUCCUGUAGUUUCCCGGGAGCGUGAGGACAGGU